UGAGGAAUAUUGGGCAAUGCCCGCAAGGGUGACCCAGCAACGCCGCGUGGAGGAUGAAUGUCGUAAGAUUGUAAACUCCUGUUAGAGGGGAAGAAUAGUACCGGUUGGACCGGUAUAUGACUGUACCCUCAGAGAAAGCCCCGGCUAACUACGUGCCAGCAGCCGCGGUAAUACGUAGGGGGCAAGCGUUGUCCGGAUUUACUGGGUGUAAAGGGUGCGUAGGUGGGCUUAUAAGUCAGUGGUGAAAUCUCCGAGCUUAACUUGGAAACUGCCGUUGAUACUAUAGGUCUUGAAUUAUCCGGAGGUAAGCGGAAUAUGUCAUGUAGCGGUGAAAUGCUUAGAUAUGACAUAGAACACCAAUUGCGAAGGCAGCUUACUACAUAUAAAUUGACGCUGAGGCACGAAAGCGUGGGGAUCAAACA
rnacentral:rRNA from 1 species